GAGGCCAGGAGGCAGAGGACCAAGGAGGAGAAGCUGCUCCUGUAAAGAGAGGGAAAGCAUCCCCAAGCUUGCUACUGGCUCUCUGAGUGCUGCAAGUGCCAUUUUCCAGAAAGUGCACCAUGCCUGAAGAUGCUCAGACACCACACAUGCUCCUGGUGCUGCAGGGUGCUUAGGGUUUCAGUAACAGGAGGAAUUUAAAUUUGCAGUCUGUACACUGCUGUCUUGAUACAGUCUCUGGAGGCUGAAUGUGUGGGCAGAUGCGAGUAUAGCAAGUGACCUGAGGAAACUGUCUCCCAGCUGCUCUGGAGAAACAACUUCUGACAGGCCAGUAGGAGUCCAUGGCAUUUUAAGCCAUCACAGACUGGGGCUUAUGCUUCUUGCUCAUGACAUUUCUGUGCCAAUGGUCCCAGCUGGGAGAUGUGAAACAAACAAGAAAGGAUGCUCCUUCCCAGGAUACUCAGAUUUUGUACAGUGGCAUUGAAAGUGAAUGGCUUCUCCACUACCAUCAAUCCUCUGCUCCUGCCUUGUGCUACAUUAAAUCAAAGUGCAUAAAACAGUACAGCAAUUUUCUCCCAGGUCUGGGAUCUUCAGUGUUACCCUGAAGUGGGGAGGAGUGAGGGUGAUGGCUGGAAGGAGAAAGAAUGAGAAUUCUAUUAACAUUACUCAUUCAAAUACAGAAGGACGAAAUUAGCCAGAGAUGCAGGAGCAUUGCAGCACAGUUGGCGUGGCAGAAAGCUAUUGAGAUCAAACAAUGAUGAUGGUGAUCCAUAAAGGAUGUUCUGUAAUCCCAAGGAGAAAUGAAUUGGUGGAAGCAAUGAACCUCAUGGAUGUUUUUAGUGAUGGCAAUGGCUGGCAUUCAGAGUAUUUAGCAUUUGGCAGGGAUGAACAGCCAGCCCAGGCACCAGAGAAAUUUGGAACCAUCUGAGAUCUCUUCAGAGUUAACAAUUUACUUCUGUUCCUUUUAUAUGAAGUUGACAAUCUGGAAUCCAUGGCUUGCCUGGUGAUUAGCUGUCCUAAAGAAGGGAAAUGAAUCAGCCCCUUUCUAUGAUGCGGUGUUUUCUUACAUUAAAUAUGGUCUGUCCUGUGGCUCUUUGUUUCAGACAGUGCUUUGGCCUAGCAUUCAUCUUCUCAAACCUAUACCAUAACUCAGACAUAUGUCUCAGGAGCCUUACCCUGAAACUCUGGGGGUAAGAAACAAAAAAACCAAAACAAAGAGGAAAAAAUUUAUUUAUGGAAGGAAUCCUCUGAAUCUUAGAAUUCCUCACUGUAGAAGUCUAAGAUCAGAAAAUUAUAUGUUAUUCCAAUUUAAAGAAAUUAAAAUCUUAAAUAUUCUCACAGCAAGAAUUUAGCAAUUAAUGAAAUUCAUUAUGAAAUAAACAAAAAGGUCUGAAGCAUCAAAUAAUAUUCAGCUUUGUGAGAA